rnacentral:rRNA from 1 species
UACAGAGGUCUCGAGCGUUAGGCGGAAUCACUGGGCUUAAAGCGUGUGUAGGCGGAUCGGUAAGUACCUUGUGAAAUCCCACAGCUUAACUGUGGAACUGCUUGGUAUACUGCCAGUCUUGAGCCAGCUAGGGGCUACCGGAACAAAUGGUGGAGCGGUGAAAUGCGUAGAUAUCACUUGGAACGCCAAUGGUGAAAACAGGUAGCUGGGGCUGUGCUGACGCUGAGACACGAAAGCCAGGGGAGCAAACGGG